AAUGAACGCUGGCGGCAUGCCUUACACAUGCAAGUCGAACGGCAGCAUGACCUAGCUUGCUAGGUUGAUGGCGAGUGGCGACCGGGUGAGUAAUGCAUCGGAACGUGCCUUUUAGUGGGGGAUAACGUAGCGAAAGUUACGCUAAUACCGCAUAUUCUCUGAGGAGGAAAGCAGGGGACCUUCGGGCCUUGCGCUAGAAGAGCGGCCGAUGUCGGAUUAGCUAGUUGGUGAGGUAAAGGCUCACCAAGGCAACGAUCCGUAGCGGGUCUGAGAGGAUGAUCCGCCACACUGGGACUGAGACAAGGCCCAGACUCUUACGGGAGGCAGCAGUGGGGAAUUUUGGACAAUGGGCGCAAGCCUGAUCCAGCCAUGCCGCGUGAGUGAAGAAGGCCUUCGGGUUGUAAAGCUCUUUCGGCUGGGAAGAAAUCGCACCCUCUAAUACAGGGUGUGGAUGACGGUACCAGCAGAAGAAGCACCGGCUAACUACGUG
rnacentral:rRNA from 1 species